CUUCCCAGCAUCACUGCCUUGGGCUAUUGGCUGUCCUUCCCAUGAAUGCCAGUAUUCUGUCACUCAGCAGUUGCACAACUGUAGACAAAUAGUCCUAGUCACUUGAACCUCUGUUUUCAUGGCCCAUCAAGUUCCUAGCAGCACCCCAUACAGCAGCCUAUCCCCACAGGUGAGGCUGUUCUGGGCAUCAUCUUAGAGUGAGGCCAAAAAGUGCAUGGGGAAGCCUCAGUGCCCACAGGGAAAGGUAGUCACAGUCAUCCAAGUGUCCCUUUCCUGUGGACUCACAGCCACCUCCUGACUGAUCCCGGGCAAGCCAAGAGCUCAACCCUGAGAACCAGAAAGUGCAGGGAUAUGAAGAACAGGUGGAAUAGGAGGGAACCAAAGAGGACAAGGACUCUCCUGUCAUUCAGUGCUCUGUACUCCAGGAUUGCUGGCCCUCAAGCUUCUGGAGCUUUCCCUGCCUCCCAUGUCCCCAUAGCAGCUCUGGGAUUACAGAAGCGUGCACUUUGUCCCCAGCCAUGAUGUGGCUUCUGGGCAUCCAAACUCAGGCCAGCCUUGUGGAGCAAGUGCUUUACCCAGUGUGUCAUCUCUGAAGCCACAAGAAGCAUUUGGGGGAAAUGGCUCAGAAGUCAGAACCACACUCUUGCAGGAGACCUGAGCUCUGUUCCAAGCACACACAUCAGGCAGCUUACAACUGCCUAUGACUCCAGCUCCAGAAAACACAAAGGAUUUUUGAUGGACGAUGUAUGAGGGCCAAAGAAAAGCCUCCAGAGAUAGGUGAGGCAGGGUUUUAUAUGCCUCCCUGUCUAAAUCCUGGUUCUUUUGAGUCUAUCUUGGAUGGUGACCAUGAACUGCAGUGUGGAGAAUCAACUUCUCAAUCUGCAUUUCAAAGUAAAGUGUCAGGAACUUGAACCUAAGUGGGGAUGCUUUCUUCUCAGUAACGGUACUGUUGCCUUUGCUGUUAUAAUGGUCAAGUUGACUGGAGACCUACAGAGAGUAAUUCUUAGGCAUUUUUAACUACACUAAGCCGUCUAGGACUACAAGAAGACAAGUGUGCCUCGUUCUCUUUCACAAGUCCUUGCAAAGAAGAUGUCUCCUCUGGCUCCUCCCUCCAAGCUGGGGACUGUAGUCUUAGAGAUUUUUCUAUUUCUACCCACCUCUUUUUUUCCAGCAUAGUCUUUU
ensembl:lncRNA